rnacentral:piRNA from 1 species
UCGUUGGGUGCAUCAAAAGUUU